UCUUAACUUGUCGCUGAUGUGUUCUAUUCCGUGUAUAUGUUGGAUAACCUUUGUUUCUCAUCAACUUAUAGGAGGUAGGCCGUCGUGCAGCCUACCGUCAACUAUUUUGUUCAGAAUCAUUGUAUUCUACUGACUGUUCCAUCGAAAUGAUACAAGAGUCAUAAUUAUAUUGGACUUGCUAGAUCACCCCAGCAUAGACCAAUCUCUCAUUUCAUCUUCUCAAGAGAAGAUUUGAUAACUGACCGGUGGUUUCAUUUGAUCUAAAAUUCUAAACACCAGGUUUCUAAAUUUGCAUGGUAGACUUUAUAAUAAGAAGUCAUAUGUCCUUUCAAGAAAGUCAAUAAGGUCCCUUGUUUACUAACCUGUUGGCUGCUACCAUUGAAUCUCCCUUUUUACUUUCUAAAGCGGGCCAUCUUAACAAGAGGGUAAUCCUUCGCUACUUGUCAUAGACUUCAUCCGCUGGUGAAAAACGGACGAGAGAAUGCUACAAUUCAAGACUGAUAAAUUGUUUAAUCGUUAGAUUCAAUUACAAGUGCAUAUCUGGGCUACCUUCUUUUCUGUGGCCCCGUUUCCCUAACUAACCACUAACCAAUGCCCGCCGUUGGUCACUCACCGGUGUGAAACCAGGAGGAGGGGAGGGCUCUGGUCGAACGGGGACUUGGAAGGCGCAUGAUCCGAUGAAAACUUUUGGAGGGUCAUGAGUCUAACCCAGAAUCC